GGAGGAAAAGAAACCAACAGGGAUUGCCUCAGUAACGGCGAGUGAAGCGGCAACAGCUCAAAUUUGAAAUCUGGCCUCUUGGGGUCCGAGUUGUAAUUUGUAGAGGAUGUUUCGGGUACCGCCUCGGUUUAAAUUUCUUGGAACAGAAUGUCAAAGAGGGUGAGAAUCCCGUCUUGGACCGGCGGUAGGGCCUAUGUGAAACUCCUUCGACGAGUCGAGUUGUUUGGGAAUGCAGCUCAAAAUGGGUGGUAAAUUUCAUCUAAAGCUAAAUAUUGGCCAGAGACCGAUAGCGCACAAGUAGAGUGAUCGAAAGAUGAAAAGCACUUUGAAAAGAGAGUUAAACAGUAUGUGAAAUUGUUGAAAGGGAAGCGCUUGCAACCAGACUUGAGCGCGGCGGUUCCCCCUUGCUUCUGCUUGGGUUACUCCGCCGUGUCCAGGCCAACAUCGGUUCUGGGGGUCGGUCAAAGGCUCUGGGAAUGUAUCUACCCACGGGUAGACUUAUAGACCAGGGUGUCAUGCGACCUCCCGGGACCGAGGAACGCGCUUCGGCUCGGAUGUUGGCGUAAUGGUUGUCAGCGACCCGUCU
rnacentral:rRNA from 1 species